AUGGCUACUGGUUGUAGAUGGAAUUUAAGCAGAGGAAUAGCAAAAGUUGUGCCCCAUGAGGCCAGCGACCAAAGGCCCGAUUCGUUACCGUUGAAGCUUGGCCCUUCAUCUGGGUGUAUGGUUAUCCUCAUCUCUAUACGCGCAUGCAUGGACGAGCUUCAGUCUGAUGAGGAGAAAACAAUCAUGUUGAGUUUUAAUCAGAACAGGUGGACAACCAUGUUGGAAGAACUGUUCUAUUUUUGCAUCUGCAACCAGCUGCUGCUGCUGAAGAUUUGCUCUCCUUUUCCAAUGCAUGUAGUACAGGAUGAAGUGGCAGGCUGGAAGAAGUCCAAAGCCAGUUUCCGUCGGAUGAGAAUUCAUAGCAAGCACAUCAGAAAGAGAUCUUGCUGUCAGAUGUUCUAUCAUGUUGCAAGAUGGAGUCGAUUCAAGCACCACAUGCUGGAAAUACUGCACCAUAGUGACAUAAAGGGCAUCGCAUUCAGGAAACCUAAUGUUUCCAUAUACACCUUCCCAAUGCCUGAUUGCAUAUGCCAACAAGAUGGAAUAUGA
rnacentral:rRNA from 1 species